ACCAGACUCCUACGGGAGGCAGCAGUGAGGAAUAUUGGUCAAUGGCCGAGAGGCUGAACCAGCCAAGUCGCGUGAGGGAUGACGGCCCUACGGGUUGUAAACCUCUUUUGUCGGGGAGCAAAGAGAGUCACGUGUGACUCAUUGAGAGUACCCGAAGAAAAAGCAUCGGCUAACUCCGUGCCAGCAGCCGCGGUAAUACGGAGGAUGCGAGCGUUAUCCGGAUUUAUUGGGUUUAAAGGGUGCGUAGGCGGAAUAUCAAGUCAGCGGUAAAAAUUCGGGGCUCAACCCCGUCGUGCCGUUGAAACUGGGUGCCUUGAGUGGGCGAGAAGUACGCGGAAUGCGUGGUGUAGCGGUGAAAUGCAUAGAUAUCACGCAGAACUCCGAUUGCGAAGGCAGCGUACCGGCGCCCAACUGACGCCCAUGCACGAAAGCGUGGGUAUCGAACAGGAUUAGAUACCCGGGUA
rnacentral:rRNA from 1 species